rnacentral:tRNA from 1 species
GGGCCUGUAGUUCAACUGGUUAGAACGCGCCGCUCAUAACGGUUGAGGUUGUGGGUUCGAAUCCUACCAGGCCUA